AGGACACAGUGUUUCUUUCCAGAGAGGCGCUUUAGAUGCUUUAUCACCCUUGACACUGCGUAGUGACUGCAUUUAGAACGCUCCCUGGGGUAUUUCCUGUUGUAGAAAGUAAGCACACUGUAUUUGUUCGUGACAGCCGUCUGAAAUUGAGGCAGAACUCCUCAUUGGCCGCGUGUUUGAAUCCGGGGCUACGGAGAUGACCCUUUACCAGCCUCCUGGAAACAUUUCUGGAGAGUCUCUAGGACUUUUUUUCUGUUACAGUGGCUCGUGUAAUUCUCCUUAGGAUAGCAGUUUGGAAUAACGGUGGACAAAGUAGUCACUCUGCUGUCCUCUCUACUGACUGGCGUCUGUCGAUCCGGUGGAAUUGCUAGUAACUCCCUCAGCCUCGAUAUUGCUUCAUCUGCUUGUUUUCCACCCCUUCUCCACUGGCUCCCUUUCCUGCCCGUUUUAGUUUUAUCAGACUAACAGUCACACAUGGUUCCCUGUGCUUAGCGAUUGAAGAGUUUUAAGCGAGUACAGGGGGCUGGUUGUUGAGUACAUCCUUUUCUAAAAAAUGUCCUUUAAAUGCUUUACGUGGCCUUUCUUCUGUAUUCGUAUGUUCUGGGUGGUACACUUCAUGACGGGGGGACCCUAAGAGGAUGCUCAAGUCCAUGUUAGACUAUGUUUUAAAUUGUGUGUGAUGGUUUCUGAGGGUAGGGGAGUUGGGAGAAAAGUGUGCUGACCGUUUUCAAGCGUUGGGUUUUUGCCUGGUGGUGAUGGGUGGGAGGUGGUUGGCUGCAGAACAAGGUAACUUGCCUAGGUAUUCGUGGAAACUCCGGAGGAGAUCCAAGGAUUUCUGACCUCGGAAGAGGCCUUGGAGAACCUCUGGGCCAGAUCUAGUUUAUAGGUGAGAGCACUUGAGCAAUUGCACAGACACACAGCAAGCUAUCGGCAAGUCACCUCCUCAGAAUCCCUGUCACCUCCCUAUGUAGGACCUUGUGACGCGUUCUGGGACUGCCCCUGCAAGUCCUAGGGCGUUGGUCCUGUUUUCUCACCCUGGUAACACCUCUCUACUUGGAGCAAAAUUGUUAUCUGGUGAUGAGAAUCUCAAGGGGAGAUGGCACAGCCUGCUUUCCUGCUGUGCAGUACAGUCCCCCUCCCUUUUCAGUGAGGUUCAGACCUAACAUACCGUCAAGGUCACAAACAUUGUGUGUGUGUGUGUGUGUGUGUGUGUCUUAGGCCUUGUUCCCUAGAAGCCCAAGAAGCAAAUCCUUGUGCAAGUGAAGUUGAGGACGGGCGGGGAGAGGGCUGGGGUCCUGAGAGGCUGGGGUCUCGACUGGGGUCCUGAGAGGCUGGGGUCUCGACUGCAGUCCUGAUUUAGCCCAUCCCACUCUGGGGAACUCUGGGGUGCAGCCGGCCAGCCGGCAUCCCAGCGUUGUGUCUUCUUGAGCCAAGGGGGUUGGCGUUUUGUAGUCCCUGUCUGCAGGCUGCCCUUGGGGUGAGGGCCAGUGUGCUGCUCCUGAGAGUGGCAGCCAGUGGCAGUCCCUCGGCAGCAGCUCAGGGCUGGGUGCACGGGCCUGGCGCUGAGUCUGUAGGUUCCGCGAGGCUUUUCACACAUGCACACACUCAGGUGAGCACCACUCCCAUCCUGUAACAUUCCCAGCCUUGCACAGGCUGCCCUCCGCACCCUGCCCGUCUCUGUUGCUCCUAGUUAAUGCCGCGGAACUGCUCUUCCCCUUAUCCCACAGGUUGGUGUAGCCUGUUGCGCUCCAUGUGCGCCGGAGGCCCCGUUUUUGGAUCUCAGCAUUGUCUGUACCCUUGUCUUACUCUGUUGUAUCGUCUGAACAGACCGCAGGUGAUCUGUGUCUCUUGGUGGGCACUGGCUGUCACAUGCUGGGUCACAGGCGGCACACUGGCAGCAUAUGGAGGUUCCCAGGCGAGGGGUCUAAUCGGAACUACAGCCGCCAGCCUACACCACAGCCACAGCAACGCAGGAUCCGAGCUGCAUCUGCGACCUACACCACAGCUCACGGUAAUGCCGGAUCCUUAACCCCCUGAGCAAGACCAGGGAUCGAACCCGCAUCCUCAUGGAUGCUAGUCAGGUUUGUUUCCGCAGAGCCACGAUGGGAACUCCUGUCAGUCCUUCUAGCAUUGGCACUUCUAGUGGGUGUGUAGUUUGUGGUAGUUUUAAUUUGUUUCCUAACAGCUAAUGAUGUUAAGCACCCACGUAUGCUUAUUUUCCUUAAUUUUCUUUGGCUGCCACACAAGUCCUUUGGCUCAUGUGAAAAACAAAACCUUGGGAGUUCCCGUUGUGGCUCAGUGGUAACAAACCCCCCCUAAUAUCCAUGAGGUUGCUCCUUUGUCAAAGAUCAGUUGGCUGUAUUUUUGUGGGUCUGUUUCUGGGCUCGGUUCUGUUCCAUUGAUCUAUUUGUCUCUUUGGGGUUUUUGUUUGUUUUUGUUUUCUUUUGCAUUUGUUUUUGCCAACGCCGUACUGUCUUGGUUUCUGUAGCUUUAUAGUAAGUCUUAAAGUGUUCUUUUUCUUCAGCCUUGUGUUGGCUUUUCUGGGCCUUUUACCUUCUUACUUCAGCCUUCGAGCCAGUUUGUUGAUAUUCACAAAAUAACUUACUGGGAUUUUCUUUGAAGCCACUCUGUUUUAGAUAUAUUUGUUACAUCAGGUUUUUUGUUUUUUGUCUUUUUAGAGCCACACCUGUGACAUAUGGAAAUUCCCAGGCUAGGGGUCGAAUCAGAGCUGUAGCUGCCAGCCUACACCCCAGCCACAGCAACACAGAAUCUGAGCCGCAUCUGUGACCUACACCACAGCUUACAGCAGCACCGGAUCCUUCGCCCCCUGAGCAAGGCCAGGGAUCAAACCCGAAUCCAUCAUGGAUCCUAGUCGGGUUUGUUACCACUGAGCCAUGAUGGGGACUCCUCAGAUCUUUUUAUUUUAAAUUGGAGUGCAGUUGGUGUAUAAUAUUACAUAAGGUACAGGUGUACAAGAGUGAUUCCCGAAAGGUUAUACUCUGUAUUACUCUCUGCUCUGUGGUUAUCAUAAAGUAUUGGCCGUCCCUGUGUUGUAUGAGCUUACUAGGAUUUUGAUUGGGGUUGUGUUGAUUCUAGAUCAGGCAAGUUAGGAAGAGUUGGUCGUGGCCAUAGGAGUCUUCCUAGCCAUUGGGGAAUAUCUCUCUGCUUGUUUAGUGCUUUGGUUUGACUCAUUGGCUCUGGCAGUUGACCUGAGAUGUGUACUUUUUAUGUGUUACGUUAGAUGUAGACCUAAGUCAGUCAGUCUGUCUGUCUGUCUGUCUUUCUUGGUGUUAAUAGAGACAGUUCUCUGUGUGGAAUUUCAGAUUCCAAAUGUUUGUCAUUGGUAUAUAGGAAAGCAAUUUCAUUUUGCGUUUACCCUUUUACCAGUUUCUCCUCGCCCCCCCAAGCCCCUGGCAGCCACUUUCCACUCUCUUAAGUGUUUGGCUUUUUUCGAAGAGGCCGUGUGUAAGUGACGUCACACAGUAUCAGUCCUGCUCAGGCUCGUGUCACUUGGCUUAAGGCCCUCGAGGCCUAUCCAUGUUUUUACAAAGGGCAGAAUUGCCUUCUUUCUCAGGACAGAAUACUGUUUCCGUGUGUAUUUACACCACAUUUGUAUCUGUUCGUUUGUUGGUGGACACUUAGAUUGUUUCUGUGUUUGGGUUUUUGUGAAUAAGGCUGCAGUGACCAUAGAGGCGUAGGUAUCUUGUUGGUAUCUUCUUUUUCGUUGGCCAGCUGUCGAGAAGUGGGAUUGCUGGAUCAUAAAGUAAGUUCUAUUUUUAAUUUUUUGAGGAACCUUCAUAUUGUUUCCAUAGUAGUGAAAAAUUUUUUUCAUCUCAAAUUCCAGUUGUCCGUUGCUGGUGUAUGGAACAGCAGUUGACUUUUGUGUAUUGAUCUUAUAUCCUACGGGAGUGGUAUAAUCACUUCUUAGUUCCAGGGGUUUUUUUGUGAAUUCUUUGGGAUUUUUUUGCGGAGCUAAUCAUGUCAUCUGUGACCAAAGACAAUUUUAUUUCUUCCCACUCUGUAUAGCUUUUCUCUUCUUUUCCUGUUUUAUUGCAUCAGCUAGGGCUUCUAGUAUGAUGUCAAAAAGGAGCCGUGCGAGCUCCCAUCGUGGCUCAGCAGUGAGGAACCCAGCUAGUAUCCAUGAGGAUUCGAGUUCAGUCCCUGGCCUUGCUCAGUGGGCUAAGGAUCUGGCGUUGCCACUAGCUGUGGUGUAGGUCACAGACGUGGCUUGGAUGCCAUGUUGCCGUGGCUGUGGUAUAGGCCAGCAGCUGCAGCUUUGGCCCUUAGCCUGGAAUUUCCAUAUGCUGCAGGUGUGGCCCUAAAAAGCAGAA
ensembl:lncRNA